UGAGUAACCUGCCCUUAACUCUGGGAUAAGCCUGGGAAACUGGGUCUAAUGCCGGAUAUGACUCCUCAUCGCAUGGUGGGGGGUGGAAAGCUUUAUUGUGGUUUUGGAUGGACUCGCGGCCUAUCAGCUUGUUGGUGAGGUAAUGGCUCACCAAGGCGACGACGGGUAGCCGGCCUGAGAGGGUGACCGGCCACACUGGGACUGAGACACGGCCCAGACCUCCGUACGGGGAGCAG
rnacentral:rRNA from 1 species